AUUGAACGCUGGCGGCAGGCCUAACACAUGCAAGUCGAGCGAGCGGCGGACGGGUGAGUAAUGUCUGGGAAACUGCCUGAUGGCGGGGGAUAACUACUGGAAACGGUAGCUAAUACCGCAUACUAUUGGAGCGGCCGAUAUCGGAUUAGCUAGUUGGUGGGGUAACGGCUCACCAAGGCGACGAUCCGUAGCUGGUUUGAGAGGACGACCAGCCACACUGGAACUGAGACACGGCCCAGACGCCUCCGGGAGGCAGCAGUGGGGAAUUUUGGACAAUGGGGGAAACCCUGAUCCGGCCAUCCCGCGUGGGCGUAGAAGUCCUUCGGGUUGUAAAGCACUUUCAGCGGGAAGGCGUUACCCGCAGAAGAAGCACCGGCUAACUCCGUGCCAGCAGCCGCGGUAAUUC
rnacentral:rRNA from 1 species